rnacentral:rRNA from 1 species
GACAGAGGCCUCAAGCGUUAGGCGGAAUCACUGGGCUUAAAGCGUGUGUAGGCGGACUUCUAAGUGCCUUGUGAAAUCCCACGGCUCAACCGUGGAACUGCUGGGCAUACUGGGAGUCUUGGGCCAUUCAGGGGCAACUGGAACAAGCGGUGGAGCGGUGAAAUGCGUAGAGAUCGGGAAGAACAUCGGUGGCGAAGGCGCUCUACUGGACCACAACUGACACUCAGGGACGAAAGCUAGGGGAGCGAAUGGG